rnacentral:snRNA from 1 species
GUUCCAACCAUGUAGUGGUGG